rnacentral:rRNA from 1 species
UACGGAGGGUGCAAGCGUUGUCCGGAAUCAUUGGGCGUAAAGGGCGCGUAGGUGGCCCGGUCAGUUCGUGGUGAAAGCGCGGGGCUCAACCCUGCGUCGGCCAUGAAUACUGCCGCGGCUGGAGCACUGUAGAGGCAGGCGGAAUUCCGGGUGUAGCGGUGGAAUGCGUAGAGAUCCGGAAGAACACCGGUGGCGAAGGCGGCCUGCUGGGCAGUUGCUGACACUGAGGCGCGACAGCGUGGGGAGCAAACAGGG